UGGACAGAUUAUUGUAUUUGACUGUAUUUGACUGUAUUCACUGUUUUUAAAACGGAAAGCGAAUCAAUUAACAUAAUAGACUCCU
rfam:Nicotiana attenuata strain TT chromosome 6, whole genome shotgun sequence.